UACUAGCCCAGAUAGAAGUGGAAAUCCUUUUUAUUUCAUUUUUUUUUAAAAUGGAAUAAAAAGAUUGUAGCGGAUAGCUGGAAAUGGC
rnacentral:sRNA from 1 species